GUGGGGAAUAUUGGGCAAUGGGCGCAAGCCUGACCCAGCGACGCCGCGUGAGCGAUGAAGGCCUUCGGGUUGUAAAGCUCUGUUGGAUGGAAAGAGGGUUCGGACGGUUAAUACCCGUUCGAGCUGACGGUACCAUCUGAGGAAGCCCCGGCUAACUCCGUGCCAGCAGCCGCGGUAAUACGGAGGGGGCGAGCGUUGUUCGGAAUUAUUGGGCGUAAAGCGCAUGUAGGCGGCUUCGCAAGUCAGAAGUGAAAUCCCUGGGCUCAACCGAGGACCUGCUUUUGAAACUGCGAGGCUUGAGUGCGGGAGGGGAGAGCGGAAUUCCUGGUGUAGCAGUGAAAUGCGUAGAUAUCAGGAGGAACACCGGUGGCGAAGGCGGCUCUCUGGACCGUUACUGACGCUGAGAUGCGAAAGCGUGGGGAGCAAACAGGAUUAGAUACCCGAGUAGUCC
rnacentral:rRNA from 1 species